rnacentral:tRNA from 1 species
GCCGCCUUAGCUCAAUCGGCAGAGCGGCGCAUCCGUAAUGCGCAUACUUCGGUUCGAUUCCGAAAGGUGGCU